GACGUAGGGGGCCAGCGUUGUUCGGGAAUUACUGGGUGUAAAGGGUUCGUAGGCGGUGUGGCAAGUUCGGGAGUGAAAUCUCCUGGGCUCAACCCAGAGUCUGCUUCCGAAACUGCUGUGCUUGAGUGUGGGAGAGGCGCGUGGAAUUGCAGGUGUAGCGGUGAAAUGCGUAGAUAUCUGCAGGAACACCCGUGGCGAAAGCGGCGCGCUGGACCACUACUGACGCUGGAGGAACGGAAAGCUAGGGGAGCAAACAGG
rnacentral:rRNA from 1 species